GGCAGUGUGGCGUAGUGGAAAGAGCGCAGGAAUGGGGGACAGGAGGCCUGGGUUCUCAUCCCAGCUUUGCCA
rnacentral:tRNA from 1 species